AACGAACGCUGGCGGCAGGCUUAACACAUGCAAGUCGAACGCAUGCCUUCGGGCAUGAGUGGCAGACGGGUGAGUAACGCGUGGGAACCUACCCCUUGGUACGGGAUAGCUCCGGGAAACUGGAGAUAAUACCGUAUGUGUCCUGAGGGACAAAGAUUCAUCGCCAAGGGAUGGGCCCGCGUCGGAUUAGCUAGUUGGUGGGGUAACGGCCUACCAAGGCGACGAUCCGUAGCUGGUCUAAGAGGAUGAUCAGCCACAUUGGGACUGAGACACGGCCCAAACUCCUACGGGAGGGAGCAGUGGGGAAUAUUGGACAAUGGGCGCAAGCCUGAUCCAGCCAUGCCGCGUGAGUGAUGAAGGCCCUAGGGUUGUAAAGCUCUUUCACCGGUGACGAUAAUGACGGUAACCGGAGAAGAAGCCCCGGCUAACUUCGUG
rnacentral:rRNA from 1 species